rnacentral:rRNA from 1 species
GCAAGUCGAACGAAGCGCUUUACCGGAUUUCUUCGGAAUGAAAGUUUUGUGACUGAGUGGCGGACGGGUGAGUAACGCGUGGGUAACCUGCCUCAUACAGGGGGAUAACAGUUAGAAAUGACUGCUAAUACCGCAUAAGACCACAGGACCGCAUGGUCCAGUGGUAAAAAUUCCGGUGGUAUGAGAUGGACCCGCGUCUGAUUAGCUAGUUGGUAAGGUAACGGCUUACCAAGGCGACGAUCAGUAGCCGACCUGAGAGGGUGACCGGCCACAUUGGGACUGAGACACGGCCCAAACUCCUACGGGAGGCAGCAGUGGGGAAUAUUGCACAAUGGGGGAAACCCUGAUGCAGCGACGCCGCGUGAGCGAUGAAGUAUUUCGGUAUGUAAAGCUCUAUCAGCAGGGAAGAAUUAGGACGGUACCUGACUAAGAAGCACCGGCUAAAUACGUGCCAGCAGCCGCGGUAAUACGUAUGGUGCAAGCGUUAUCCGGAUUU